rnacentral:rRNA from 1 species
CCUACGGGCGACAGCAGUCGAGAAUCAUUCACAAUGGGGGAAACCCUGAUGGUGCGACGCCGCGUGGGGGAAUGAAGGUCUUCGGAUUGUAAACCCCUGUCAUGUGGGAGCAAAUUAAAAAGAUAGUACCACAAGAGGAAGAGACGGCUAACUCUGUGCCAGCAGCCGCGGUAAUACAGAGGUCUCAAGCGUUGUUCGGAAUCACUGGGCGUAAGGCGUGCGUAGGCUGUUUCGUAAGUCGUGUGUGAAAGGCGCGGGCUCAACCCGCGGACGGCACAUGAUACUGCGAGACUAGAGUAAUGGAGGGGGAACCGGAAUUCUCGGUGUAGCAGUGAAAUGCGUAGAUAUCGAGAGGAACACUCGUGGCGAAGGCGGGUUCCUGGACAUUAACUGACGCUGAGGCACGAAGGCCAGGGGAGCGAAAGGGAUUAGAUACCCCUGUAGUC